rnacentral:rRNA from 1 species
CUACCGGUAUCACGCAGGAAACAUCGGUUCUCGUCUAAUCAGUGAAGUAAAGCAAUGUCGGGCCCGGUAAGUACCUGCAUGGGUGACAGGCUGGAAAUGCCGGGUGUUGCGACU